GACGAAGGAUGCAAGCGUUAUCCGGAUUCAUUGGGUUUAAAGGGAGCGUAGGCGGCCCUGUAAGUCAGUGGUGAAAUCUCGCAGCUUAACUGCGAAAUUGCCAUUGAUACUGCAGGGCUUGAGUACAGUUGCUGUGGGCGGAAUAUGACAUGUAGUGGUGAAAUACAUAGAGAUGUCAUAGAACACCGAUUGCGAAGGCAGCUCACAAAACUGUAACUGACGCUGAGGCUCGAAAGUGCGGGGAUCAAACAGGA
rnacentral:rRNA from 1 species